UACCACUCUGCCUUAUUUUCAAAGUU
rnacentral:piRNA from 1 species